UCCUAGGAAAGCAGUGAAGACCCUGGCCC
rnacentral:piRNA from 1 species